rnacentral:rRNA from 1 species
GACGAACGCUGGCGGCGUGCUUAACACAUGCAAGUCGAGCGGUAAGGCCCUUUCGGGGUACGACGAGCGGCGAACGGGUGAGUAACACGUGGGUGACCUGCCCUUAGCUCUGGGAUAAGCCUGGGAAACUGGGUCUAAUACCGGAUAUGACUCCAUGACGCAUGUUGUGGGGUGGAAAGCCUUGUGCGGCUAGGGAUGGGCCUGCGGCCUAUCAGCUUGUUGGUGGGGUGAGGCCUACCAAGGCGACGACGGGUAGCCGGCCUGAGAGGGCGACCGGCCACACUGGGACGUGAGACACGGCCCAGACUCCUACGGGAGGCAGCAGUGGGGAAUCUUGCGCAAUGGGCGAAAGCCUGACGCAGCGACGCCGCGUGGGGAUGACGGCCUGUGU